rnacentral:rRNA from 1 species
CCCCCGGACUCGCUAACAUCCCAUCGCGACUCGAUUAUUCUAAGCUAGCGGAAUAAUAAACUUCGUACUAGAGAACUGGAUGAAUGGAUGUNCGAGAUAUAUAUUCUGGUCCAUUUAUGAUUAAAAUCCACAAUUAACGUCAACAGCUGCAAUGUACCCAGGGACCAUACCACGGUAUAUAACUCAUAUAUNCAUNNCUAACUANACAAUANUAUGGUAUUAUNNNAUAGUUUGCUGGGGUGGCAGUUAAAUUGAAACUUUAACUCACGCUCCANAUAUAUAUGUNGUNCCAGAUCCANUAUAUUAUAAGAAUUAGUUACCUUAGGGAUAACAGCGUAAUUUUAAUGGAGAGUUCAUAUCUAUAUUAAAGUUUACGACCUCGCAUGUGAAUGAACAUUAUCCCNCAAGCAGAAUUCUUGUANUGAAGUCUGUUCGACUUUUAAAAUCCUACUUGAUCUUGGUGCGGACCGG